rnacentral:rRNA from 1 species
GACGAACGCUGGCGGCGUGCUUAACACAUGCAAGUCGAACGGAAAGGCCCUGCUUUUGUGGGGUGCUCGAGUGGCGAACGGGUGAGUAACACGUGAGUAACCUGCCCUUUACUUUGGGAUAACUUCAGGAAACUGGGGCUAAUACCGGAUAGGAGCUCCUGCUGCAUGGUGGGGGUUGGACAGUUUCGGCGGUUGGGGAUGGACUCGCGGCUUAUCAGCUUGUUGGUGGGGUAGUGGCUUACCAAGGCUUUGACGGGUAGCCGGCCUGAGAGGGUGACCGGCCACAUUGGGACUGAGAGACGGCCCAGACUCCUACGGGAGGCAGCAGUGGAGAAUAUUGCACAAUGGGCGGAAGCCUGAUGCAGAAACGCCGCGUGCGGGAUGACGGCCUUCGGGUUGUAAACCGCUUUAGCCUGUGACGAAGCGUGAGUGACGGUAAUGGGUAAAGAAGCACCGGCUAACUACGUG